rnacentral:misc_RNA from 1 species
AGAUAUUGCAAGUAAGCAUGCUUCGAAGCAUAGUUUCUCAGUCAAAUUCAAUUUUGUUUCAAAUUUAUCAGUUAACACAAAUAAUGUUUUGAAUGGCGCAUAGAAAACCCAAAUGUGGUGUCUGUGUUCUUGAGCAAAAAACAUAAACUGCACACAACUCGGUCUUGGGAAUUUCUUGGACUAGACCGAAAUAGUAAGAACUCU